GGGGGUGGGAAUGGGGUUAGCUGGGGACUGGGGGCUGGAGGUGGGAAUGGAGUUAGCUGGGGCUGGGGGCUGGAGGUGGGAAUGGAGUUAGCUGGGGCUGAGGGCUGGAGGUGGGAAUGGAGUUAGCUGGGGCUGAGGGCUGAGAGGUGGGAAUGGAGUUCGCUGGGGCUGAUGGCUGAGAGGUGGGAAUGGAGUUAGCUGGGGCUGAGGGCUGGAGGUGGGAAUGGAGUUAACUGGGGCUGAGGAUUGAGAGGUGGGAAUGGAGUUAGCUGGGGCUGAGGAUUGAGAGGUGGGAAUGGAGUUAGCUGGGGCUGAGGGCUGGAGGUGGGAAUGGAGUUAGCUGGGGCUUAGGGCUGGAGGUGGGAAUGGAGUUAGUUGGGGCUUAGGGCUGGAGGUGGGAAUGGAGUUAGCUGGGGCUGAGGGCUGAGGGCUGGGAAUGGAGUUAGCUGGGGCUGAGGGCUGAAGGCUGGGAAUGGAGUUAGCUGGGGCUGAGGGCUGAGGGCUGGGAAUGGAGUUAGCUGGGGCUGAGGGCUGGAGGUGGGAAUGGAGUUAGCUGGGGCUGAGGGCUGGAAGUGGGAAUGGAGUUAGCUGGGGCUGAGGGCUGAGAGGUGGGAAUGGGGUGAGCUGGGACUGAGGGCUGAGAGGUGGGAAUGGGGUGAGCUGGGGCUGAGAGGUGG
ensembl:lncRNA